rnacentral:rRNA from 1 species
UACGUAGGGGGCAAGCGUUGUCCGGAAUCAUUGGGCGUAAAGCGCGCGUAGGUGGCCCGGUAAGUCCGCUCUGAAAGUCAAAGGCUCAACCUUUGAAAGCGGGUGGAUACUGUCGGGCUAGAGUCCGGAAGAGGCGAGUGGAAUUCCUGGUGUAGCGGUGGAAUGCGCAGAUAUCAGGAGGAACACCAACGGCGAAGGCAGCUCGCUGGGACGGUACUGACACUAAGGCGCGAAAGCGUGGGGAGCGAACAGGAUUAGAUACCCUGGUAGUCCACGCCGUAAACGAUGGGAACUAGGUGUGGGAGGUGUCGACUCCUCCCGUGCCGGCGCUAACGCAUUAAGUUCCCCGCCUGGGGAGUACGGCCGCAAGGCUAAA